CAGGAGGCUGUGAGCAGCGCUGACGUGUGGUCUCCACUCUCUUCUCCCCGUCCGGCAGGCCCGGAAGCCAUACGUGGAUGAGGCUGAAUCCUAAGACGGGGAGCCCGUGUGGGCCUGGCCCCUUGCCUUGCAGACUCGUGGGGGCUCUUCAUGACUUUUCUUUUGAAGAAAGAAUUCCAUUGCUAAAAAAGAUUUGAGAAUGACUGGCCCGCCUCAUAGGCCGCUGAGACACUUGGGGACUACGCAUGAAGCAUCUGUAUCUCCACAGCCAACGAUGCCAGGAGGACUUCAGCCACCACCCCUCCGCGGACACCCCUCCAGCCUGCAGCCGCGGUUCUAGCCUUUUCCCCGAUGUCAUUUCACAUACACGUUCCCGGUCGUCCUCUGUUUAUUGCCAGAAGCUC
rnacentral:lncRNA from 1 species